UACGUAGGUGGCAAGCGUUGUUCGGAAUUAUUGGGCGUAAAGGGCGCGUAGGCGGCUUGUUAAGUCGGCUGUGAAAGCCCGGGGCUCAACCCCGGAGGGUCGGCCGAUACUGGCAGACUAGAGUACGGAAGAGGUAGCUGGAAUUCCCGGUGUAGCGGUGAAAUGUGUAGAGAUCGGGAGGAACACCGGUGGCGAAGGCGGGUCUCUGGGCAAUUCCUGACGCUGAGGCGCGAAAGCGUGGGGAGCAAACGGG
rnacentral:rRNA from 1 species